GCCAGCCCCCGUGGGUUCACCUUUACAGCAUCUGAAACUAGGACAAGAGCCAAAUUUUCCAAAAUGCCAGAAGGGGUAACAAAGAAGUAACCAGUUGGAAGCUGAGGACUGGCAAAGUUCAAGACAAAAAUGAAGAAGCUGUGAUAAAGUCCCUCAAGCUUCAUGUGGCUGUACCUCCAGAGGCACCUGAGGGUUCCUACACUCUGAGAGGAUCAAGAAGAACAGAUGUACAAUCCACUUACUUUUGAGAUGAUAUUCAUCUAAUGCUGACCCUCUUGUCUAUUUGGGUAUCACCCCAUAAACUGAGCGGCCUGGUGGGAUGAAGGGCACAGGAUAACUGAGUGAGUUUCUACACAAAUCAAUUCAUUCAAUUCUUUGCUCAAACAUGACCCUCCUCAUCAGUGGCUUCCUUAUUUAACAUAGCCAGUUACUCUUUAUUCUCUCAUUCUGUUUGGUUUUAUUCAUAGCAUUUGUUUAUCACUAUUCCAAUUUAUACGAGUUGUUAAUUUGCCAAAUAUUAACCAGAAUGUAAGUUUGAUGAGGAAAGAAGCCUUUCUCAUUUUCACCUGUGUGUCCAUUGCCUAGAAGAAUAUCUGGUGCAUGGCAGGCACUCAGUUUCUAUUGAAUGAAUUAUGAGUGAAUGAAUGAAUGAUCUUU
rnacentral:lncRNA from 1 species